ACGGGAGGCAGCAGUGGGGGAUAUUGCACAAUGGGGGAAACCCUGAUGCAGCGACGCCGCGUGAGUGAUGAAGUAUUUCGGUAUGUAAAGCUCUAUCAGCAGGAAAGAUAAUGACGGUACCUGACUAAGAAGCACCGGCUAAAUACGUGCCAGCAGCCGCGGUAAUACGUAUGGUGCAAGCGUUAUCCGGAUUUACUGGGUGUAAAGGGAGCGCAGACGGCAUGGCAAGCCAGAUGUGAAAGGCAGGGGCUCAACCCCGGGACUGCAUUUGGAACUGUCUAGCUAGAGUACCGGAGAGGCAAGUGGAAUUCCUAGCGUAGCGGUGAAAUGCGUAGAUAUUAGGAGGAACACCAGUGGCGAAGGCGGCUUACUGGACGAUAACUGACGUUGAGGCUCGAAAGCGUGGGGAGCAAACAGGAUUAGAUACCCUGGUA
rnacentral:rRNA from 1 species